ACUAAAGCUAGCCCAAAUAACAAACAACUUAACUACAAAGCAAGCAUCAAACAAAACAUUUAGUCAUACAUUAAAGUAUAGGAGAUAGAAAUUUUAACCGGAGCUAUAGAGACAGUACCGCAAGGGAAAGAUGAAAGAGAAUUCAAAGUAAAAAAUAGCAAAGAUUACCCCUUCUACCUUUUGCAUAAUGAGUUAGCUAGAACAACUUAACAAAGAGAACUUAAGCUAAGCCCCCCGAAACCAGACGAGCUACCUACGAACAAUCCCCUGGGAUGAACUCAUCUAUGUGGCAAAAUAGUGAGAAGAUUUGCAGGUAGAGGUGAAAAGCCUAACGAGCCUGGUGAUAGCUGGUUACCCAGAAUAGAAUUUCAGUUCAACUUUAAACUUACCUAAAACCCCAAGAAUUUUAAUGUAAGCUUAAAAUAUAAUCUAAAAAGGUACAGCUUUUUAGAUCAAGGAUACAACCUUACUUAGAGAGUAAACACAAAUAAGACCAUAGUAGGCCUAAAAGCAGCCAUCAAUUAAGAAAGCGUUAAAGCUCAACAAUUCAAUCAACAUAAUACCAAAAAAACUCAAAACAACUCCUAACGUACUACUGGGUCAAUCUAUUCAAUUAUAGAAGAGACAAUGCUAAUAUGAGUAACAAGAAACCUUUUCUCCUUGCAUAAACUUAUAGCCGAAACGGAUAUCCGCUGAUAGUUAACAACAAGAUAAAACUAACUAACUAAUUAAUGUACCUAUCAAACCAAUUGUUAAGCCAACACAGGAAUGCAACCAAGGAAAGAUUAAAAGAAGUAAAAGGAACUCGGCAAACACAAACCCCGCCUGUUUACCAAAAACAUCACCUCCAGCAUUACUAGUAUUGGAGGCACUGCCUGCCCAGUGACGUAAGUUAAACGGCCGCGGUAUCCUGACCGUGCAAAGGUAGCAUAAUCAUUUGUUCUAUAAAUAAGGACUUGUAUGAACGGCCACACGAGGGUUUAACUGUCUCUUACUUCCAAUCAGUGAAAUUGACCUUCCCGUGAAGAGGCGGGAAUAGAAUAAUAAGACGAGAAGACCCUAUGGAGCUUUAAUUAACUAACUCAACAGAACAAAUCCAGUCAACCAACAGGGAAUAAAAACUUCUAUAAUGAGUUAACAAUUUAGGUUGGGGUGACCUCGGAGAAUAAAACAACCUCCGAGUGAUAUAAACUAAGACAAACCAGUCAAAGUGCCACAUCAUUAAUUGAUCCAAAAAUUUUUUUGAUCAACGGAACAAGUUACCCUAGGGAUAACAGCGCAAUCCUAUUCGAGAGUCCAUAUCGACAAUAGGGUUUACGACCUCGAUGUUGGAUCAGGACAUCCUAAUGGUGCAGCAGCUAUUAAGGGUUCGUUUGUUCAACGAUUAAAGUCCUACGUGAUCUGAGUUCAGACCGGAGUAAUCCAGGUCGGUUUCUAUCUAUUAACCAGUUCCUCCCAGUACGAAAGGACAAGAGAAACAAGGCCCACCUCAACACAGGCGCCUUAAGACUAAUAGAUGAUAUAAUCUCAAUCUAACCAGUCUAAUCCCCCAUGAGUCCAAGAAACAGGACUU
rnacentral:rRNA from 1 species